GACGAACGCUGGCGGCGUGCCUAAUACAUGCAAGUUGAGCGCUGAAGGUUGGUACUUGUACCAACUGGAUGAGCAGCGAACGGGUGAGUAACGCGUGGGGAAUCUGCCUUUGAGCGGGGGACAACAUUUGGAAACGAAUGCUAAUACCGCAUAAAAACUUUAAACACAAGUUUUAAGUUUGAAAGAUGCAAUUGCAUCACUCAAAGAUGAUCCCGCGUUGUAUUAGCUAGUUGGUGAGGUAAAGGCUCACCAAGGCGAUGAUACAUAGCCGACCUGAGAGGGUGAUCGGCCACAUUGGGACUGAGACACGGCCCAAACUCCUACGGGAGGCAGCAAUAGGGAAUCUUCGGCAAUGGACGAAAGUCUGACCGAGCAACGCCGCGUGAGUGAAGAAGGUUUUCGGAUCGUAAAACUCUGUUGGUAGAGAAGAACGUUGGUGAGAGUGGAAAGCUCAUCAAGUGACGGUAACUACCCAGAAAGGGACGGCUAACUACGUG
rnacentral:rRNA from 1 species